UUCGAUGAGAAAAUAAAUGAAGUGUGACC
rnacentral:piRNA from 1 species